rnacentral:tRNA from 1 species
AAUAUAGUGCCUGAUUUUAAAAGGAUAGCUUUGAUAGAGCUAAUCAUGUAUUUUAUACCUAUAUUA